rnacentral:rRNA from 1 species
UACGUAGGGUGCAAGCGUUAAUCGGAAUACUGGGCGUAAAGCGUGCGCAGGCGGUUCUAUAAGACAGAUGUGAAAUCCCCCGGGCUCAACCUGGGAACUGCAUUGUGACUGUAGAGCUGGAGUACGGCAGAGGGGGAUGGAAUUCCGCGUGUAGCAGUGAAAUGCGUAGAUAUGCGGAGGAACACCGAUGGCGAAGGCAAUCCCCUGGGCCUGUACCGACGCUCAUGCACGAAAGCGUGGGAGCAACAGG